rnacentral:tRNA from 1 species
GGAUUGUGGCUCAGCGGUACAGCACUCGCCUAGCAUGUAUAAGGCCCUGGGUUCGAACCUCAGCACCA